rnacentral:misc_RNA from 1 species
ACAAACUUGGUCAUUUAGAGGAAGUAAAAGUCGUAACAAGGUUUCCGUAGGUGAACCUGCGGAAGGAUCAUUAAAAAGAUCGACCCAAAAAUAUGGACGAUCCAAUCCAUAUCCACCUUGUGUGCACCUAUUGACCGUUCGCUUUGGCAGGAGUUGUCUUCGAUCCGGCCCAAUCCCUUAGAAUCUUUAUUUUAGGGGGGGAGGAGGGAUCGAAGCGGCGAGGGGGGAAUUCAUAUCCCACCUCGGCCUGCCAGAGUUUUUCCAAUAUCCACACUUUUUUUAAACCCUUUGGACUGAACCCUCGUCUCGAUUCUUUGUAAUCGGUCGAAUCUAAUACAACUUUCAACAACGGAUCUCUUGGCUCUCGCAUCGAUGAAGAACGCAGC